rnacentral:rRNA from 1 species
AUGAACGCUGGCGGCGUGCCUAACCCCUGCAAGUCGAGCGGCAGCGAGGGGUGCUUGCACCCUGUCGGCGAGCGGCGGACGGCUGAGUAACGCGUGGGAACGUGCCCCAAAGUGAGGAAUAACUGCCCGAAAGGGUAGCUAAUACCACAUAUUAUCUUCGGAUCAAAGGAUUUAUCCGCUUUGGGAGCGGCUCGCGUCGGAUUAGGUAGUUGGUGAGGUAAUGGCUCACCAAGCCGACGAUCCGUAGCUGGUCUGAGAGGAUGACCAGCCAGACUGGAACUGAGACACGGUCCAGACUCCUACGGGAGGCAGCAGUGAGGAAUCUUCCACAAUGGGCGAAAGCCUGAUGGAGCAACGCCGCGUGCAGGACGAAGGCCUUCGGGUUGUAAACUGCUUUUAUAAGUGAGGAAUAUGACGGUAACUUAUGAAUAAGGAUCGGCUAACUACGUG